rnacentral:rRNA from 1 species
AUUGAACGCUGGCGGAAUGCUUUACACAUGCAAGUCGAACGGUAGCGGGGGCAACCCCUUGAGUGUGGCGUACGGGGGAGUAAUAUAUCGGGACGUGCCCCGGCGUCUGGGAUAACGUAGCGAAAGAUAUGCUAAUACUGCAUCCGAUCUAAGGUUGAACGUGCGGGAUCGCGCAACCUCGCGCGACUGGUUGCGCGGAUAUCGGAUUAGGUAGUUGGUUGGGUAAAGGCCUACCAAGCCAACGAUCUGUAGCUGGUCUGAGAGGAUGACCAGCCACACUGGAACUGAGACACGGUCCAGACUCCUACGGGAGGCAGCAGUGGGGAAUUUUGGACAAUGGGCGAAAGCCUGAUCCAGCCAUACCGCGUGCAGGAUGAAGGCCCUCGGGUUGUAAACUGCUUUUGUUCAGAACGAAAAGGUUUAUAUUAAUACUAGGAGCUCAUGACGGUACUGAAAGAAUAAGCACCGGCUAACUACGUG